GAUUUAGAGCUUGUUAAAGAGAAGACGAACCACGUAUUUAUGAAUUUUAUACUCAUCGCGAAGUAUUGGUAUUGAAAAAAAGGGGUAGAGUAUCAUAAUUAUCUGAAAGGAGACUUUGCUGACACGACAGCCCGUACCUGUACAGAUAUCAAGAUGAAACAUAACUGAGAUUCUGUUACAAGGUUUGGCGAAGUUUACCUGGCGAGGAAGAAGGAUGGAAGUGACGAUGGCAAAUUUUACGCCAUAAAGAUAAUGAAGAGGACAUCACUGAAGAGAAAGGACAUCGACCACGCGUGGACGGAGCGUCGCGUAUUUGAGAAAACACGCGGCACUAUUUUCUUCCUGCAGCUCCAUUAUGCUUUUAAGACAAAUGAACACCUACAUCUCGUAAUGGACUACGUAGCAGGAAAGAACUUUAUUGAACUUCUGUAGCAGCGAGGGGGGCUUACGGAGAAUGAAACAAGAUUCUUCUCUGCCGAAAUCAUCCAUCCUGGCCCUCCAGCACCUGCACGAGAUAGGCAACCAGCACUCCCGCUGAACAGCAUAAUAAAGAGGGCAGGGCACAAGACAUGAAAAGUUACUGCCCAAGGACCCUACGGAAGCCGUUGAAAGGAAGACCAACCUCCUUCUCAAGAAGUCAUCAUUCCCAGAGGAGGUCAUCCAAAAGCUACGGCCCCAGGGUUCGAGGCCCCCUAGACUGUAUGGGCUACCCAAGAUCCAUAAGGAAGGAGCUCCCCUCAGGCCCAUCGUAAGCACCAUCGGCGCUCCAACCUACCGGCUUGCCCAAUAUCUCGCGGGACUACUCGGGGGAUUGGUGGGGCACUCUCCACGUCAC